CACGUAGGCACCAAGCGUUGUCCGGAUUUAUUGGGCGUAAAGAGCUCGUAGGCGGUUCAGUAAGUCGGGUGUGAAAACUCUGGGCUCAACCCAGAGAUGCCACCCGAUACUGCUGUGACUUGAGUACGGUAGGGGAGCAGGGAAUUCCUGGUGUAGCGGUGAAAUGCGCAGAUAUCAGGAGGAACACCUGAGGCGAAGGCGGGUUGCUAGGCUGACACUGACGCUGAUGCGCGAAAGCGUGGGGAGCGAACAGG
rnacentral:rRNA from 1 species